UACGUAGGGUGCGAGCGUUGUCCGGAAUUACUGGGCGUAAAGAGCUCGUAGGUGGUUUGUCGCGUUGUCCGUGAAAACUCACAGCUUAACUGUGGGCGUGCGGGCGAUACGGGCAGACUGGAGUACUGCAGGGGAGACUGGAAUUCCCGGUGUAGCGGUGAAAUGCGCAGAUAUCGGGAAGAACACCCGUGGCGAAGGCGGUUCUCUGGGACGGUACUGACGCUGAGACGCGAAAGCGUGGGGAGCGAACAGG
rnacentral:rRNA from 1 species